UAUUGUGAGAGAAAGCAUCAAGCUGGAUUAAAAUGGAUCAUACGAAAGAAAAAAAUCAAGGGACUAACAAAAUAAACUAGACCCUGUUCCAAAGGCCCGCCACCUUGAAAAAUAAGUAAAAUUGAUGGAUUUUAUCCAUGUGAGCACAUCCAAUAGACGAGAUCUAAGACAGCUGCCGAGCGUGUCCUGUAUCACGAUCAUCAACAGAGUCAGUUUUUAUACAGGAGAAACAUUUUGGAAUGUCUGUAACGGCUCACAGACAAACCUACUUCCGGUGUGUGCAAGACCUUGGAAUUUUACAUCAGAAGGAGAAGACUGUACUUUCAAAGCUGUUCCUGUCAAAAUGGAGAGUGGGAGAGACUUGAAGAAGCCUAGCAAGAGAUGGACGACAGGGAAAGAGGAAACGGCGAGUUGCCACCUUUGCCACUGACCUUCAAUGGCUGACACUAUAUCCUCUGCUUGUCUAUCUUCUCACCAACAAUAAUCUGCUCUCUUUUGAUCUCUGUAGCUUUGCAAAUGCUGACAGAGGCCUUGCUCUCCCGAGGAAGGCAGCUUUUCUUUUCGGCGAGGUUUCAAACACGUAACGGAGGUGAAGUGUGCAGGGAUAUGGCUUUCAUAAAGACUGCAGUCCACUCCAGGAAAGCAUCACAUUGCCUUCCCUGGAGCAUUUCAGCAGAACUACGAAAUAAAGCUAAACCUGGGAGGAUAGCCACCGAGCCACGGACAUCAACUAUUCAGGCUGAAAGGCAUUGUAAACAUCUCAUUUAAAUGCAGAAUUCCCAACCAGACUAGUGCAGAUUUGACACACAGUGGGGUAGCGGCAGCUUACAAAGUGCCAAACGACAAAAACAACAUGAUUUUUAAUCUCAUUAGUUGUCGCCUCCGUGGUUAAUUUAAUCACCUAAUAUAAUUUUUAAACAUGUCUUAAUGUGUACGAGGGCCUGUUGCUACUUUCCCUGUAUGUAGUUUGUUUAAUAUAGUUUAGUCUUUAUUUGAAGGGACAAUGCACAGAAACAUUAAGCUCAAAGACAGAUAUGUUCUGUACCAGAUUAUAGCUAAAUAGCUAAUUUCCAUCUGCAGUCCCUGGCUACCUAAAUUAAAGGGAUACAAAAAUCAUGCAAUAAAAUUAUGACAUAUAAGUGAGAAGGCCGCAACAUUAAAUGUGUGGCAUGUCGGUGUCCGCCGCACCUGUCUUGUAAUUAGUGGGCGGCACCAAUCAUAGUCUAUAAAGCCUCGUGGAUGGCAGGCACACCAUAUGGCGUGUUGCAUGGCCAUUUGAUUGGCGGAAAGUUGUGUACCUGGGUGUUUCGCUGUGGCGUGUGUUGCUAGACAGCGGCUCCUGCCCAAGGUAAGAUGUAUCUGGGUUUGCCUCUCUGUUGGGGCUUUAAGCCAAGACUGACAAACGUCUUGCUUAGAUCUCGAGUUCCACUUGGGACCAGUCAAUGGCCAUUUCCGGCUCUCCCCCUCCUCCCGCUGUGUGCAGGUGCGUGCCUUCACGGCAGGUAAGACGCCAAAGUGCAUAUUUGAUCUUUUUAUGCCAUUAAGACUCAUGUUGUUACGGCUCAAGCUCUUGCCGCCACACAGUCUGCUGUGCACUCCUCUGAGUGGGCCUCUGGACACGCCCACGGGCGUUCCUCUCCUACUGCGGACACGCCUCCGCGCAGCUGCACACAAUUGGCAAUCAACAAACCUGCUGCUGAUGAGAGCCCCACGUCCUUCAUAAGCCAGCGGAUCCUGCGUUUCAGUGCCAGAACGUAGCUACUUGUCACGUACAUGUGUCUCGUCUCCCCGGAUUCCCUCCUGUCUUCUUGAUGUCUUCCUGGAUCUUGACCUCUCGCCUGGACACGGAAUUUGACGCCUCGCUCCUGCCCUUGACCUCUUGCUUGCCCACGGCCCUCCGAACCUGCCUUUCUCCUUCUGGACUUCCGCACCUUCCUCAACCUGCACCUUCAACAACUCCUGGUAACACUCAGCUAAACGCAACACAUAGUCACACCAUACAUAUUUGUAUUACUUGCACACGUCAUUCUGUUAUUUUAAUAAACAUGCCUAAGGCUAAGCGACGUCCCUGUCUCAGUGCCGUCUCCUUCUCCACCGCACAUAACACAUGUCCUCUCUUAGGUACGAGCUCUGCAGCUGUGCCUGCACCAAGGCUGCUGACAUAAAGAAUUGUUGCUUUGUCUAUUGCUUUGUCCAAUGUGUGUCUUGGGGCAGCAUUUGAACAGGGUGUGUCCUCGCUAAACCCCCCCUCAUAGUGCCCCCGCAGCGCAUCUUGUGUUGGGUGGUGCGUUCAGGUGCGCUCUGAACACAGCAAGCUAAA